rnacentral:lncRNA from 1 species
GGGUUCUUCUUCCUAGACAGAGGAAGGACAAAUGCCAAAUUUUUCUACUAAGACUUUACUUUUGAACUUUUUAAAUUUAUGCCUUUCCUUUACUGACUAAUGAUUUACUUCUCUAUUAAAUGAUUUAAUAGAUUUCCUACUAUCUUAUAAGCCUUGAAUGGGCUGACUUUGUAAAGAUCCUACUGCUUCAAUGCCAUGAGGUCACUCACAUUUUCUUUAUUCCUACAUGGGCAACCCAUCCUCAUUAAAAGUAAAAUGAAAGCCACCAGGUGACCCUCAUUGAUAUUAAUUCUGAACCUAAGACAAGUUACGAUUUAGAAUUUUCUUCAGACAACUGAGGGGUCUAGGUUAACCUAAGGUUUCAUUAAUCCUGAGUUAAGUCUUUAUUAAUCUUAAACACCAUUAAGUUCAAUAGGCUAUUACUGAUAUUUUAUAGAAUGCUACGGAUUAGGCAUAACCUCUAUUCCCUGCCCUUUGAGAACAUGAAAAUGAAGGGAAUGUAGGUGAAAGGACUUUGGAUGUGAAAUACAUAAAGUGAAUAUAUAACCCAGUCUGAGGGUUACCAAAAGCCUCCUGGUGAAUGUAAUAUCUGAAUUAAGCCUUAAAGAAUAAACGAAAGUAAGGCAUUCAAAAAAUGUAGGUAAGGCAUUGUAGGCAUAUGUAAUGUAACUUCUCUCCCCAAAAUCAAUGUAAAUGAAUAGUGUUAUAGUAAAAUUUGGGGUCAAAUAGUAGUAAGGCUGCUAGGAUUAACUAGAGAGGACAAGACCACGGAGAGUUUAUAGGCAAUCUGUGAAGCUUGGCUUUAUCCCGUUUGGGUCUGGAAGACAUUGAUGAACUUAGAGUACCAUCAUGUUUUCACUUCCGUUUUAAAUAAAAUACUUGACUGGUGAUGUGGAAAACAGACUUAAAGAUCAAAAGCUUGUAGACAUUAGAAACAGUUAAGAAAUUGCCAUGGUGACAGAGAAAAGACAACUUAAGUCUCUGAAUUAGGACACUAGGGAACAAGAGGUAAAGACUGAUAUUUAGAAAGUGAAUUUUACCUUUAAAAAAAAAACUAAUGUCUGUAAGGUUUUUAUGUACAUUAUGUACAUAUAUAAUCUGUAUCUAAAUACAUAUUUGCUUCUUCAAUGUGUAAGUUUGUAUAGUCAGUCUAAUAAUUUUGAAUAUUUAUGAAAACAGUUAAUAACCCAAAUUCCCUUUCAUAGGAUGAAUUACAUUGUGGAUUUUUAAAAGAAUGAGUUAGGAAAUAUAUACAUAUAAAUAUAUCACAUGAAGAUUUGGAUUUUAAUUAUAUAUGAAAAAAUUAAAUUUGUGAAGCACUAUCAUUAUUUGUUUCAUAAUAUAUAUUUACAAAUAUAUGGAAAUGAGAAUGAAGAUAUGCUAUAAACUACCUCUAACUUUGGGAGAUGAGAUUAUAGAUGUAUUUCUCUUUUUAGGUUAUUUAUUUCUAUAUUGUGAGUUUUUUUCCAAGUGGAUUGUUUUGAUAUUAUCUUUUAGAAAAUGUAUGCUGUGAUAUUUAAAGAACCAAGUUUUGUAGGAAUUGUAAACAAUUGGUUGAGGGAAUGGUGGAAAAUGAAAUGUCAAGAUUGAUUCUCUCUUUAUCUUUUUAAAAACUAAGUUCUUAAGAUGGAUUUUAGUGUCACCAGUUGAGUGGGAAAUUGCAAAGGAAGAAUAUUUUUGAUUUCUGGGACAGGAGGGAGAUAGUGAUUUAUUUAUUUAUUUUUACAUUAAAUAUUUGAUGUAUUUCUAGAAUAUGCAGGGGAAGAUUUCUCACCUUUGAAAGGAACUGGAACCAGAGAUAUAGACUAAGAUUCAAUAAUCUAUAAGUAGCCAUCAAAGAUUAUAGUUGAAAAUUAUUACAUAAACAGUUAUGUGAGUUUAUAAGGAGUAGAUGGUUCACUCAGUGAAAAGAUAUGUUAAGACAAACCAGACUCUGAAAAAAGGUUUUCUGGCAUAAAUAAUAGAAGUUCGAGCCAAAGUGGGCAAAAAAGAUCAUCUAAAGCACCAACUCUCCUGUUUUCCAAAAAGAAACUGAAGAUCCAGAGGGAAUGACUCACCGAAAACCACUUGGUUAAUUAGAGGCAGAACCAGGAUAAGCAAGCAGAGCAAUUCUGCAGAUUCUCAGUUCAUUUGUUUCUCUUUCUUUAUGCUUCCACAUGAGUUUGGCUUCCAAUUUUAUAGCAUUUUACCAUUUUAUAAACUCUUAAAUAUACAUGAUCUAUUUUGAACUUCACAGCAAAUGUUAAAUACAAGAGGCAGAUGGUUAGUCCACCUUUAUAGCUAAUACAAAGUUCAAUAACUUUUGACAAAGUUGAGUGUUUGGCAAUGGACAGAGCCAGAAUUCGAACCAGGGUUUUCCACAGACAAUUCUGGCUCUCUUCCACAUCAUCAAUCACAUAAAAGCAUUCUUUAGUUUACUCAUUUAGCUCUUGGCUCAAGUCUGUCAUCCCAGGAUUUGAAAGGACAGAAGACUGGAGUUUUCAUUUGAGGUAUGUUCUUGUUUGAGCAUCUUCUAUACAUAGUCAUUUCCUUCUACUCAAAAUGUAUGAAUAAACUUAAAUUUUAGUUAUAAUAGACCAAGAUGAAAAAAUAUUUAAUUAGUUUAUAAAUAAAAUAAUAUACAAAAAAAUUUGUUUUUGGUGUCUAUGAUGUUUAUUUUUCACAAUUAGAAGUUCUACAGUUGAAGAAGACAUAAUAAAAGUGCUCUUAUAAAUAUACAUUUAAUUGUUUAAUCUGUCUUCUUUUUUUAAUUUUUAUCUCCCUCUUUUACAAAUACUUACCCUUGUGGAAUUGGGCAAGUGUCUUACCUGUACUUGGUUCUGAAAAAUUUUCGGAUUAUUAAGGCAUUUGUUUUAGUCAUUAAUAGGUUAAUAAUGUUAAUCUAUUAUAAUUUUCAAGGAAUUUGUUUCUUCAAAAGUCAAUUAUUUGGCUCUUUACUUCUCUUCUUCAUUAAACUUUCCAACUGCUGUGCAGUGGCACAACAGUGUCUUUGUCAGUGGCUUAGAGGAGCUGUUUGUCAAUUGUUUUGCUUCAAGGACUGCCUCCUUUGUUGAUGUUCUUCCACAGAUUCAGAAGUACAUCAACAAAGCAGAAAACUAAAAAAAAAAAAUAUGAAAUUUUCAUUCAUGGAGUAUUUUUUGAGAGGAAAAGUUUUCAGAAUGCUUUAUUUAAAAACUUAUUUUUCUUCAUUGAUGAGUGAAUGUUCAACCCUUUUGCUUUCUCAUUGGCAACAGAAAAAUAAAAGACACUUUAAAAAUAGAAACAUUAUAAGAAUGGAAAUGAGUAGCCAGUCUAGGAUUGGUAAAAUGGCAGCAUUAGAUAUAAGGCAAAACGUAGUGUGAGAUUUGCUCUUUCAAAAACAAAAAGGGACACAGAAUGUCCAUUGUGAUCUGAUGAUAUCAACUGAAAAACGGGUUGCUAUUUAAUAGAAUUUUAAAACUUGAAGGGAUUUUAGAUAUCAUCUAAACCAGUCUAUUCCUUUCAUAGGCUAGGAAAUUGCAGCCCAGGGAAAUGAAGUGAUUGCCAGAUUCUGGAACGGGUGCCAAUAGAAAAUAGGAGGUAAAUGUAGUAUGCUAUUAUGGAAUACAGCUUGGCUCUACCAGGGGCUGGUGUCUUUGUUUUCCCCAUAUAUUUCUGUUGGUUGAGAAAUCAGCCAUCUCCUUCACAUAGUACCAUAUGGAGAUAAUUGUGAGGAAAAGAGUGAUUGAAUUUAUAGAUUCUUAACUUGUUUCCAUGUCUAUACAAUCGAAAUAGGAAAAUUUCACUUCUAUACAUUUAUUCCCUUUAGUCUCUUACUGUUCACAGAUCCUUGAUGAACUCUGACAUAUUAUAAUAUGCAAUUUAUAUAUCACUUAUUUAGACUACACAUUACUCUUUCCUUUGCCCCUUUUCCCUUCUGCACCUCUAAAUGAGCACAUAAAGUAACAAAAGAAUGAUAUAAAAUAGAUUUUUAAAAAUUCUCUCCAAGUAGAAAUUAGUAAACUAUGUUUCAUGGACAAAGUUCAACCUGCUCUCUUUUUAAUAAACUUUCACUGGAAGACAGCAAUAGUUGUAGAAUUGGAGGUGAUAAAAUAGUGCCAGGUGUACCUAAUUGUUCAGCUGCCAAAAAAGUAAGUUUCAAAAUGAGAGAGAUGGGCUUUAGGAGGACCAGUGUUUUCCAUUGGAGGAAAAACACAUUAAAAUUCUUCUCUUUGUAGUUUUGUCUUUUAUAAUUUAAUUUUAUUUUUGAAUUUGUUCUUUAGAUGAAUCAGAAGAGACAGAAUGAUUUACAUGAUCCAACAUGUUGAAAGAUGCUAGGAAAAACACUCUUGGAAUAAGAAGGAAAAUUUUAUAACAAAAUAACACAGUUUAUUGAAAACAUAAUUAACCUUGAAUCACUAUAUUCUUUGAGAAUAUGACAAACAGUUUGUGCCUUGUGAAAAUAUUCUUUUUUUAUAUAUUCAGUGCUGAAAGUUUUUUGUAUCCUUCUGCAAUAAUGGAUAAUAAGUACCAGAUUCCAUCCUUAUAUUUACAUGCUGCUGUUCACUGUGAGAAGGACCCAUCACGUGGAAUAGUAACAAAUAUCAUGUAGGAAUUUCAAACUGAUAUUUAUACAUGAAAUGUCAGUGAUAAUCGACAGGUACUCAAAUAGAUUUUUCAAAAUGCAUUUUCUGAGAAAUAAAUAUGUUAACCGACUGCCAUAUGCACUAGAUAUUUGUUUGGCAUUUGCCUAAUCAUACUCAAUUCAGAACAUCAUAGAAUAUUCAUGUAGAAGGAUCUUAUGCUCUUUUAUAUUUCUGUAUUUAUUGCUUAAAGAUGAUGAAACAUAGAGCCUGUUUGGAAAUGAUAUGUUGAAUCCUGAAAUUUAAAGGAAAUAAAAUGGGAGAUUUAGUGUUCUUAUAAAUGCAAAGCAAUAGAAUGUACAAAUAUGACAGGGGUUGUCAAAUUGGAUGUCCUGGAACCCCAGGGGACUUUGGGGGACCUUUAAAUACAGUUAUGCAAGAGCAAUUGCUCAGGUUCAUCCUCUGCUGCCUUAACAAGAACAUACCGUUAUACAGGUCUGUUUGAUAUUAAAUUCUGUAUAAAAUUUCAUUUGAAAAAUCAAAGACUGCCACCAUUUUGGCAAAGUAUGAAUGAAUAUAUGAAAGCAUUUAUAAAUGUUCCUGCUAUAGGUUAUUGAACAAAUCAUUUAACAAAGAAAAUAGUAGCAAUGUCAGAAUUUAUUGUUGAUUGACAUAUUUAUUUUUCAGCCAAAACAGGUCUUUACAUAAAUUGUUAUAUUGAAUAAUGUGAGAGAUAAUUAGCCACUGUCUCCAUGACCCAAUCUUCUAAUUAGCAAUGUAACGUGUAAGGAAAUACUUUCAUACUUUCAGAGUAAAUGCAAAAAUAACAAGGAUACCUUUAUUAAAAGGACAAAAAUAGACUUGGAGAUCUUGAACAGAUUUUAUGAGUUAUGCACUGAGCCAUACAGUUCAACCUUUUCAUUUUAUAGAUAAAGAUAGUAAAAUUUAAGAAUUCUCAAAAUUAAUGGCUAAAUGAGGGCUAGAGGACAGGUGCACGACUACCUUCAUAAGGUGUAUAGUAAGAAGCAAAUUCGAUUAGGAUUCAAAAAAUCUGGUUAGUUAUGUAAUAGCUCUCUAACUUUGAGCUACUUAAUUUCUCUGACAUCAAUUCAAUCAUCACUAGCAUGGGUAACUCAUAACUACAGCAUAGUGUUUUGUGCUAUAUGGCAUGAAAUGUUCUAUGUAUGAUUCCCCAGGUAAAUAUAAGGUAUUAUUAUUAGAAUAAAUUUAGAUAAGAUGUAAUUGCCAGUAUCUACCUUUUUGCUUAUGAAUAUAGCAGUUUCAUAUGGUUUGACUUAAUAUUAUCUUUGAUACUAUUAUACCACAAAUGAAUAUUUUAUGGUUUUUAUCUUAACUGCAGAGGGUUGAUUUAAUUUUAUGCCUUUUUUCUCAGGAUUCAUUAUUGUUUUUACUCCUAUUCAAGCCAUUAUCUUCACCUUCAUUUAUAUUUCUCUCUUUGGCAUAUACUAUAUAUGUAAUCAUUUCAUAACAUCCCAUUUCUUACUCUCAUUUACCUCUUCCCUCACAAGCCACCAUUUUAAUGUAUUUCAUGUAUGUCCUUUUAUUUGCAUGUGUCUUUAAAAUUUUUAAAUUGCCAUUAUUCUAUUGCAGUGCUUUGCAAAAUAUUUAAUUUACACUUUAAUUAGUAAACAAUAUGCUUUGGAUUAUCUUUUAUUUUUAGAGGAAAAAUGACAUGCUUUGCUAAAGUGUUUAGUAGUAUGAUAAGAGUAUAGAAUUAAUCAUAAAAACUGAAAAGGACAUAACUAUCACUGAAACAUGGGUAGGGUUGAGGUCCUUUUGACGCAUUGCUUCAUUUCUGCUUGGGAUUCAUGCAGGGUGUAGUUUUUAAAUGUUUUCCCCUUUUUCUUUGUUAUUUUCUGCUGCAAAUAUUCAGACAAACACACAUGAAAGUCUGAGCAUGAACACACACACAGUCAUGAACAUACAAACCCACAGAU